rnacentral:tRNA from 1 species
GCCCGGGGAGGUCCUCAGCGUUGGGGACAGGCACGAUCUCGACGUGCUGGCGGCCCGCGCAGCCGGGCUGCGGGCG